GGAGAGGUGCCGGAGUGGCCGAACGGAGCUGCCUGCUAAGCAGUUGAUCUCGCAAGGGGUCCUCGGGUUCGAAUCCCGACCUCUCCG
rnacentral:tRNA from 1 species